UUAAUGCAGAGAGUAUGCAAUUAAAAUAUUCUUUACGCAGAACUUGAAAUACAGAAGUAGACAACUAAAUGAGAAUAACAGAGUCUAAGAAAGCAUGGCAACAAUUUCCAAUGGUGGAAUCAAAGCGCCAUUUGUACGUCACACCGUAGAAUGAAGAAAAUAGAGGGACAGUUCUUUUCGAUUUGGGGCUUAUGCCACGGUUGGAUUGUAGAGCGAAGCGUUUUUCUUUUUAAUUUAAUUUAAUGCAGGGUUUUAAGUUUUUUGAAGUAACUAUAAAUCCAAAAAGAAAAGGAGAUAAUAGAUAAAUAUAAUUUAUGGUCAUAUAGAGCAUCACGUCACCGAAUCCAUGUCCUAUAAUUAUAUAUAUAUAUAAAGAUUUGUAUCUUAGAUCAUCUCUUUUAGGUUAGGCUGAAUACAUAGGAGGCCCUUAAACUUGCAAUAAUUUUCCUCCCAGACACUUGAACUAACUCUUGUUCCUAUUGAGCCCCUAAACUAUUAAAAAAGUGUACCAAUUUAACACAUUUUGCUAUAUAUCAUAGUGUGUGUAAUACGCUCUCCCGUAAGAGAGUAAAACUGGAAAGUCUGAUUUUUUAUUUUUUAGUUUACUUUUUAGUUUCAACUUCUAUCUUCUUCAGCUAUCAACUGCCGCCAUGCCCGCCACCAUCAUAUCGUUGAAAAUUAACCCUCAAAAGACCAGAUCAUUUAUACCUUUUAGCUCCCUAUGCCAAUCAUCUCCUUGUACCUGAGAAUGGAAUCCAUCCUCUGUAACUUCAACUGUUGUUUGAACUUGUUGAUGAAAUUAUCGGCUUUCACGUCAACUUCAUUGUCUCCAUCGCUUGUCUUAGCAGUCCUCUCCUUUGUAGUCGCCGGCCGACGAGCUUCCACAAUGGCUGCUUCCUCAAAAUGCACAAAUGGCGAUUUCAUACGAGCCGAUUUCUUCAUCUUCGUCGACAACUUCGCCGGAACUUCACCGGCCGACAAGUUCGUAUCUGAUCAGGUCCUGCUCACGUGGCGUUCCCUUGACUAAUAGUACACUUCAUCCAAGCUCUUUAGCUCACCUUCUUCUUCUUCAUUUCUUUGUGGAUUUGCUGAAAUCAAAAUGGGUCUCCAUAUCUUCGAUUUUCUGUUCAUGGGUGUGUUGGAAAAUGUACUGGGUCGAUUUAUCUGGAAGUCUUUCUUCAUGGGUUUACUCGAAGUGGAAUUCUCUUUCUAUAUUUCUGUGUUUUUGUUCAUGGGUAUGCUGAAAAUAUACUGGGUUUGUGAUUCUCCAAGUGGAUUUGCAACGUUCUUGUCCAUUUUCCUCCUUUUCUAUACAAUUUUAAAUCAAAUUUCACAAUCUGCCCGGGAAAUGGGUCAUGUUGAAGGCAGAGUUUUCCAUCAGAAAAACACAACAAAGACAGGGUGGGGGUGGGGAAGAAGACGAAGGGAGGGGGAGAAAUAUUAUUUUCCUUUUUCUUUUGCUGCUAAUGUGUCAUUUUAUCAUUAGUCACAUUAUUAUGUAAGUGGAAAGUGAAUUUCACGCAUCUAGCAUUUUAACUUGCUGCAAAAA